rnacentral:rRNA from 1 species
UACGUACCGUCCAAACGUUAUUCGGAUUUACUGGGCUUAAAGGGUGCGUAGGCGGCUCAGAAAGUAGGGUGUGAAAGCCCUCGGCUCAACCGAGGAAUCGCGCCCUAAACUACUGGGCUUGAGGAACGCAGAGGUAAGCGGAACUUAGGGUGGAGCGGUGAAAUGCGUUGAUAUCCUAAGGAACACCAGGAGCGAAAGCGGCUUACUGGGCGUUUUCUGACGCUGAGGCACGAAAGCCAGGGGAGCGAACGGG